UGAGUAACCUGCCCUUAACUCUGGGAUAAGCCUGGGAAACUGGGUCUAAUACCGGAUAUGACUCCUCAUCGCAUGGUGGGGGGUGGAAAGCUUUAUUGUGGUUUUGGAUGGACUCGCGGCCUAUCAGCUUGUUGGUGAGGUAAUGGCUCACCAAGGCGACGACGGGUAGCCGGCCUGAGAGGGUGACCGGCCACACUGGGACUGAGACACGGCCCAGACUCCUACGGGAGGCAA
rnacentral:rRNA from 1 species